CUCAAUACAAAGCUUGAAACGCAAUAUUCUUUUUAUUCUCUCAAUCUCCUUUAGAAGAACCCUUGCUUUCUUUCACAGGCAUUUAACAUCAAUUUUCAAAGAUGAAUUCUAGAAGUGUGUCUACUUUCUUGAUAAUUUUCGUGAUUUUUGUUGCUAUCACUAGUCAGAUUCAAGUCGAGGGAGCAAGGAUUUUGUCUGAGGAUUUUUCGAGUUCAAAUCACCUUGCUAAGUUCCCGAUAAUAUAUGAGAAGGCAAAAGAUACCAUGUCAUUUUGGCUCGAGAAAUUGGCAUCUGGACCUAGCCCUAAAGGACCCGGGCACUAAGUUGAAGAACUUUUUUGGGUCGUCUAAGCCAUGACAUGACGUAAAGAGAAAAAAUAUGUCAACAUAGAUAUUAAUGUUUGUAGCUAGGGCAUAUGAUUCUUUAUUUUCUUUCACUUAUUCCAUUCAUCAAUUUUUUUCUUUCUUUUUUAGUUUUGUCAUUGACACAACCAAAAUAUAGAAAUGUAUACGAAUUCAUAGAAUUUUAUUGGCUUUAUCGCAUGUUCGAUGCUUACGCUCUUACUAUAUUUUAAUCGUGUUACUUGGAAAAUAAAUAAGUUUUUUCCCCUUUUCGAGGGCUGC
rnacentral:lncRNA from 1 species